UUGCAAAUAAUUGCAUGCUUGUGUAUAAUUUUUAUCCAUGGGAAAAAAGUAAAUUCACUUCACCAGAUGAAAGCACUCGUUGAAUCCACAUGGAUUCCACAUGGAUGCUAUGCUGUGUUCUAUUCACAUUGCUCAGUUUGCUGGCCCAAGAUUUAUUUAGUGUACACUAUACCAGCUCUAUUAUUCAAGCUUCAGAAUAUUCAAGCUUACUAAUUUCCAUAUUGACAUUUCUGUGACAUUGUUCAGUACACUGAGUGCUCCAGAAAUAUGAAUUAAUUAUUUUCUCAACAUCCUUCUGCUUCUAAUAUUUGACUAGUUGAAAGUACAUUAAUGUUUCUUUUUCUGUGUAUUCCUGUGUAUAUUUUCAAGUUUCCUAACACAACCUUUAAAAAUCAAGUGUUUUUUAGCAAAAGUUCAUUUCUCCCGUAAAAAAUAAAAUUACUAUUUGAUCUCUCCCUGUCUCUUUUAAUAGACAUGAGAACAAAAAGAGAUGACAGUGUACCUUGCAGGCUUAUUCAAUGUAUUGAUCUGUGUGACAGUGUGACAUGUCAACUUUUCUAUAUCUUAAGUAUUCUAGUACAUGCUCCUAUCUUAUAAAAUUCACAUACUUAAGACAUUGCAUUGUCAAAUUCAUUAUCAGUUUAUUUAUUGAAAGUUGAUUUUUAUGGAAAGUUAAAUUUAAAUGCUAGUCCAGGAGUAGGAAUGCUAUUAAUUUGAGAAACUGGAUAUUGACAGAGUGGCUGAAAUUUAUAUUCAGAAACUAGAGUAACAAAAAAUAAAAAUUUUUAAAAAGUUUAAAAAAGUUAUUUUGAACACUGAAAUAUUUCAGGAGCACAGCGAAUUAGUGGGACAGUAAGAAAAUCCAGUAAUUGGAAUUUUUUGGUUGAACUCAGAAUCACUGCAGAUUCCUGCAGUGCAGGUAUUUAAAUUUGGUCAUCCAAACCAAAAGGGCCUUUGAAAACCAAGCAAAAGGUUCCUGUUGCUUACACAAUUCAGUUUUCAUAAGCGAGAGUUAUGAAGGGGUCACUUAUAUAUUCUUGAUUCAUCACUGCAGCCUGUAGAGCAAUAGGGGAAAAGUAAGUACUAAUUCUCUGAUUCCCCGGCCUGGGGUCAAAUCUCAAAAGUAGAAAUAAGUGAGAUUAUAAUGUCCAAUAGAACUAAUUGUGGACAAAACAACAAACGGGAGUUAUUAACCUUGCCCACAGUGUCUCAGAUGAUUCUAGAAGUCUUACUAUUUUCAGAGAGCAAGAAUGUUCUUGAGCAUAUCCAGUUUCAUCACAAUUUCUUUGUGAAGCACAGAGAACAACAGAGGAAAUUAUGAUCUCAUGACUUGCAAGGCCAAGCCAUUGAAAUUAUAGCCUUGUGAGAAAGAAUGUAAAUCAGAAAGAAUAUUUAAUCUUGGGGGUUUUUGGUUUUUUUAAAAGCUUCCAUAGUAGAGUAGUAUGCUCUUUACCAUUUAGAAUGACUGCUAGCUGAGAAAUGCGCACUAACCAUUUAUGAAUGAUACAGCUGCAAGACAUUAUCACAAAAACAAAAGAACAUUUUAUUGCCUAAUAACAUUCCUCAACACUAAUUCAUCUGCGAACAGAUCACUACCAAUAGUAGCAGCAAUGAAAAGGCUUCUAGCUGAAAGAUCUAAGUUGCAUAAUAUGUGAAAGCUGUGUUGCUUUUAUAACAAUUUAAUCUCAAGCCUUAUCUGUAUACCUGUUAGAGACCCCCCACCCCAAUAAUUGCUUAAUGCCCUAUAUGCAUGAUACACAACUGGAUACAUAUUUUCAUGGCAGAUUUUGCAAAAAUGUAUUUUGGUUUUAUAAACAUUCUGAAGUAAGACAGAAUGCAAUGAUCUGAUUGCUGGAAGACAAAAAAUUCCAUGUUAGUUCAAGAGCUGUUUUAUUGAGCUCUGUUCAGUUUUUUCAAAGCAUUCAGAAGUUUCAUUAUGAGAUUACACCAGGCACCCCUAGCUCCAGGACCAUAGCACUGAAAAUGGGAUGCCCAUCACCUGCUGCUUUCCACAUUUUCAAGGCUAUCCAAACCACUAUCCAAUCACUAUCUAAUCCUGCUCGCCAAAGAAACUGUUUACAGCUAUUUCAAAAGUUAGUGUAGCUUUGUGUGUAUGUGGUUUGUAGUAUUCACAUCUUACUAGGCUACUUAAGCUGCUCUCUCCCAUCCCCUGUCCCUUUUUUGCUAUGAAAAGCUGGAAAUUAACUAUAGUGACUUUCCUUUCAGCUCACUUCAGUCAGAAUGCCUAAAAAUCAUCAGUGAUGGUAUUUCAGGCUAUAUUCCUGUGUGUAGCUUUACAACUUAGUGUAACUUGCCUCAGGAAAGCGUGACACACAAAGCCACCCUGUCCCUGCAUGGCAGAGCUGGCACGUCACACACUGACACACAUGAUGCAUCUGAUUUAAUUGACAUUUGGACCUGAAACUCCUGAUGGAGCCAGGAAAAGCCUUGAUUCUGGGAAGUGUGCUUCCUCCUCGAUGCAAACAGAUCUCAGAUCUUAGAGAUCACACGCGAUUACCCUGCAGUCCUUGACUCUGAAUCUCCAAAUAACAUUGUGGAGCUUGUGAAGAAAAAUAAAGUGAUUGAACCCACAGAGGUGGUUGGUAUUCCCUAUAGGCAUAAUCUCUCACCUUUAUUGUUCACAGGCAAGAGGUCUCUUCAUUUAUAUGAGAGAUGUUUUAAGCUCUCUCUUUAACAUCAGUGAUUGCUAGUGCUGGUCUGGAGGAGGGUGGGGAAUAUUCCUAGGCAACACACCCUCUCCUUGGAAGAAGGCUCUGAAGAGAUGGGCACAGGUGUUUAUAAAGCUUGUGUUAUGAGCUAUUUAGAGUGAUAAUCAGAUUAUAUUAACAACAGAAGGAAGGUGUAACGUAUACUGCAGUAAUGCUAAACUGCAUUGCAAGCUGUGGACAUUGAGAAGCUGAUACUUUGUCUUUCCCCCAUUAUUGAAUGACAGCUACAAUGUAAGAUUGCCGGACACAGUGAGUCAUAAAAAGAGCAUCUGUCAGCAUGAUUUUCAGCUCUUUCCCAUUUCCUGUAAUAAGCAGAAGCAGUAUUUUGGAAAUUUCUCUUUUCUUUUGAGUUGGUAGAUAUUUUUUCUUAGAUCGUUACAGUUUCACCUUCAUUUCCCUCAUGCUGUUGCUGGUUUCAUUUUUUUUCAUUAUGACCAAAUCAUUGAGUCACUUACCAAUUUCAGUCUUGCAGGGAUACUGGUAUUUUAGAUUCUGGUGAUGAAAAGGUAUUUCACCCUUAAUAUCCAGAUCACUGGGUUUUUUGGCUGAAUUAAUGGAAACAGAAGUAGAUGAAUGUGAGAAAGCACAAGCAGGAAGGCAGAAAGUUAACAGCAGUAAGUUAACACCCCUUCUAGCAUCCAUUUCAGGCAGUAUGCUAUCCAUAUUAUCUUCCCACUCCUUUUGCUUUGCUUUGACACAGAUCGUGACCAUCAAGUAGUAUAUAAGGCAUAUGCUGUUGUUUUUAAGCAUAAGCAUAUGGACAGUUAUGUAACCUUAUUUAGUGCUAGUUUGGUUUUUUUUGGCCAAAUUCCUCUGAACUUCUGCUGUCCUAUUUUUAGUGUAUGGUGGGGAGGCAUGUAACAAAAGAAGCUCAAAUACAUUCUUAUUUAUACAUUUUAAUUUGUGGAAAAUACAAAUUAUUAUUGUACUAUACUAAUAACCAGUUUUGGAUUAUAUGAAUUAAUCAGCUUUUUUACUUAACGGUGAAGUGAAAUUAGCUAGUGUGCUUAUUGAAUUACUUGGUCAGCAAGUAAGUGCUAUCCACUCGAGAAGAGGUUAGACUAAGUUUAAAAAUGCUUGAACUGUCCUUCAGUAGGGGUGAUGUUAUAACAGCCAUGAAAAGAGCCAUGUUCACUAUUAUAAAAUCACAGAAUUAUUUUAUUUGUCUUCUGGUCCAAGUUGCAUUUUGAGAGGAAGAAUAUCUUCCACUAUAGGAAAGUCAGGAAUAAAAUUCAUGAAUAUAUAAGCCAAUUUCAUAAUUUCUCAAGCUUUUUACUGACGUUUUUCACCCACAAUCUGCAAAACAAGUGGUUUGUUAGCCAAAAAGGCACUGAGCCUUUUUUUUUUUUUUUUUAACUACUAAUCAUGUUCAAACUGAAUCUUUUUAUGAAGAGGUAAUUAUUUUCAUAACACCAGAUAUGCUGAUUAAUUAUUUCAGUGUGAAUCUUAUCAUCUGAAAUUAUAUGACCCUAACAAGAAAACUUUUCUCUGCACAAAUAAGAUCGCAGUGAAGUAAAGUAUAGAAUACUCUUAUAUAGAAAUAGACUAAAAGUGAAUUGUUAGUAUAUUGUAUUUGAAUAAAGUAACAUUUUGGUAGUCAUUAAGAGAAAAGGAAGUGUUUAAUUAAUUUAUUUGCUGUUAUUUUCUUAUGUAAAAGUGACUAGCAAUUAUGUCUUUGAAUAAAAUUUGGUUUUCUCUCUGACCAGUGCUGAGAGAGCUGGCGCACCCUGUUUUUUAAGAAAACUAAUGUAGCUUUUGACAGAAGCACUAAGUGAUGAGUUGGCACAUGGCAGACAAAGGACAAACUGUUCAGUUGUGGCCCUAAAUUUAUUUUAGUUCACCAAGUAAACAGGGACACAGCAUGGACUUUGCUGAUUAAAAGCAAAAUUAAAAAGCCUGAAGCUGCAUUUGACAGUGUUCCAAUUUGUAACCAGCUCAACACAUGGGAUUCUGUUUCCUUUUACUUUGUGGCUUCCGGGAUCCCUAUGCAGAAUAUUACUGUUUCAUUGUGCAUUUGUGUUAUUUUCUUCCCUCUAGGAUAAUUAAUUUCUUCCUCUCGGUUUCCUACAGAGACUUAAUACCCCUCUGCCCAAAAAUGCAAAAUAUUUGUAGCUUACCAUAUUGUUCUUUGUUUCACUGCUCCUGCCUUUACCAUCUAGAAGGACCUACCUCUUCCAGCCUUUGCUUGGGUGAGUGUUCUUAGUGUGAGGGAUCAGAGUCAGUGGAACUAUGCAUGUGUGAUGAGUAAUCCCACAGGUAAGGAUUUCCAGGAGGGGCUUCCAGGCAAGUGUUUUGCAUAUCUUCACAUUUUCUUUGCUAUUUUUAUCUCAUACAUACCCUUGUGUAUCUCUUCUUUGUGUCUUGUCUGAAUGGGCUAAAAAGCAGCAUUGGUCUGUAUUGCAGGAGGCAACACAAAGUUAAUUAAUUUCUGAUCAUUGACUUCAUCUACCUCAAGAAGUACCUUUUAAAAUGUAAAUACUGCUAUUAAAAGCAAUACAAAUCUGUUACAACAAUAAGUUUGCUUACAAUGUAUCACUGUUUUUUAUACUUAUAUUAGUACAAGGUCUUGAAGGAGAAUUUGGAAGUGGGAAUUUCCUUGCCAUUAAUUAUUUGUCAAAUUACUAGAGUCUUAGCCAUUAAUAGCUUGAGGUUUUAAAAUUUUUAUGUUGUAUAUUUUCCCAGAAUUAAAAAUAUACAAAGUUUCAAAUGUGCUAGGCUUUGAACAUCUGUUUCUAGAACAACCAUGUCUUUCUUUGGUUUUGAAAGAAGGCUUAUAUCUCUAUGUGGCAACAGCAUUGGACUUCAGAUAACAAAGUGUUGAAAAAUGCCCAGCUGAAAUUCCCAGUAUUAGGUGAAGUGGCCAAAUACAAUGGGUUGGAUUCAUCCCUGUAAUAUCACUGACUCCUCAACAAGAGGUGUCUGUUGUAUUAGCUGGCUAUGGGAAUUUAGAACAGAUCAAGAUGAACACUGGCUAACAGAGGUCAGAAGAACAAUCAUCCUCUGAAGUUUUGCCAUUGAUUAUGACUGAGUAGAAGUUUUUGUCUGUGAAAAAGAAGACCACAGGUUAACCCCUGAGUGUAGUAGUGAAGUCUGGUAUUUUCUGAGUCAGCAAGAUAUGUUCAUUUGACACUAACUUACCUAUCAACUUUCUUCAUGUUGUUUAGAAGAAAAUUGUUAAUAGUAUUUUCUACUCCUUUGAAACAGAAGUUAGUUCUGGAACGGCAGAACUGACCUUUUACCAUCCAAGAUGACUUUAGCUUCAGAUUCAGAAGCAUCAGAGUGGGCUAGAUCCCUUUUAAAACAAAUUUUCUUAUGAUUUCUUACGAUUAUGAAAACAGGAUUUCUUACGAUAAGUGGGAAGCUGCAAACACCAAGAUCUUGUCUAAGCAGUAGGUGGCAGACUGCUCCCAGUAAUCCUUAGGAAGCUGUGACUCAGCCCUUCUUAAUGCUCACGGGGCUGCAGUUAAAGGUGAUGAGAAGAGUUGUAAAGGUGGGGAGACUCCUAAGGUUCAAGCAGUCUGCCUAAUUUCACAGAGCAUGCCGGGGAUACUCAAGUCAGCACUUGCCAGGCGACGGGAUGUUGCUCCCACACGCCUUGUGUUAUCAGUUCCUAGAGUAACUGUGGCUGUUACCCUGCCCUGCAGCAGCUGGGUGACCUCGAUCUUGUUUUGGAGGAUUUGCUGCUGUUGACAGAAAGCCAGCGCUGUCAUGGCUUUGACACCUCUACACAGCAGUAUGCCUGUAGAUUUGUCACUAUUUGGAAAUCCCUUUAAACUCCCAAGACCCCAAGGAGUUUUUUAACCAAA